CUUUAAACUUUUGCAGAUACGGAAAGGAGAGUGCAAGUGCGCCUGGGAAACACUCAGAUUGUACGGGAUAAUGCUACACCUGAUACAACUAGGAGAGUGCGACUUGGACAUACUCAAGUUGUUCAGGAUAAUGUGGCACUGGAUACGAGCAUUACGAUCAGAUUGGGAGGAACGGUUCCCUUCUAACAACAUGAGAAGGUAUGGACCGAAGCCUUUAAUUGAUCAACGCCAUUUUGAUUCGUACAUUGAGUUAAGGGUUUAUCUUAGAUUGGCAUUUAAAUUUCCGAAAAUUAUUUGGUUUUUUUCUCUGUCCUUUGAUUUUUUAUUUCAAGUGAAAACCUGGUAUUGUGUAAAUCUGGAGAGUUUUACUGUCAAUAUUUUUUUUUACAGUUUUUUAGCAUGCAAUGCAUUUGUAAAAUAAUUUCCUUCAAAAUAGCACAACUAGAGUUAGUAACUUGUAAAAAAUGAAUAUUUGUGUAUUAUAGUCAAUAAUUAUUAUCCGAAGGUUCACAUACAGAAUUCGAAUAUAUUCAUAAUAAUUUUAUCCUUUUGUAUACAGUAAAACUCGGUUAUAGCAAAGUUCUGGGGAUUACGUAUAAGUAAUAACUUUAUAUUAGGAAAUCACAAUACGCACGUUUUCCUUCAAGUAUUACUACCGCAUAUAUUAGGGAAAAAUUUAUUAUAAAACUUACUUUAAAUAGCGAAGGUUUUAUUCUAAAUUGAAUUUUAUAUACAAAUACUUACUGAAAAUAAAGUUAGUUCAAUAUAACAAAUAUUGAAAUCCUUGAAAAUUUGUUAUAAAAGAUGUCAAUUUCAUUUUUUUUAAACUUCUAUGGGAUUAUCAAUCAGUUUGCUAUAUCCCUAAAUCUGUUAUAUCAGAAUUAUAACUGUAUAACUUUACAAAGUUUUGUAAAGAAUUUUGAUGGGGACCCCGAAACACUUCGCUAUAUCCGUCAAUUUGCUAUAUCCGUAUUCGCACUAAUUAGUCAAUGAUUAUUAUCUGAAGGUUCACAUACAUGUGCAUGAUUUUAUUCUUUUUUAUAUUUAUAUCUUUAUAUUUACAUUUUAGUGUCGAACAGAUGUAAAUUUUUAAAAGUUUAGAAGUGUAAAAACUGAUGUGCGGCAUUUUGACUAAAAUUGAAAAAAAAUCGACUUAAAAAUUAAAUUCCAUAAUAAUUGCAGUUUUGAACCUUACCACGUAGUGUGUUUAUUUGUAAGCAUCUUUACAUGUUUGUACUUCUUAGCAAUAUAUGCCACCACUUGAUGUAUUCAAUGACAUAUAAACUUUUUUAAGAAUAUAAACGUAUUUAUCGUUACUUGUAUCAUCAAUUUUUGUAAUGAGUAGAAAUCGUUUCAAACAUAAGAAUGCAAACAUUGAUAAACUUACUUUCUUUUUCCCUAACUCGUUUUCAUGGAGAACAGAGUAAAAGUUCUUUUUUAAUCAUGUAUAUUUUCCAUUGUCUUAAUGACACAUUUUGGAAAUACUGUUUUCUUUAUUUCAUCAAUGAUGAAAUCAAUCAUAAAAAUCCAAUAUUAAGAAAUAGAAAACCAUAAGGAAGUGAAAAGCUUGUACAUAUAUAUAAACCCAUUAUUUUGUAAUGAAAUUAAAUGUUUUGAUUUACACUUUUUUAUGUAAAUAUUUUAUCCUUGGCAUAAAAGGUCCCCUUCAGAUUACUGUGUAAUCGUUCUGUGUUCAUUUUGCUCUUUUUUUACUUUUCAGUAAUCUGUUGAAUAUUAAAUCUUAGAAUACUAGUAAUCAAUUCAUUCAAGUUUAUCAUGGAAUAUUAUAAAUCCAACUGAAGUCAUUAAAACCUGUGUUGAAAUGUAUUUUAUACAAAUGGAUUAAAUGAAUAUGCAAUAUUCAGAAAAACUCGUUCUUAAAUAAGAUUAUUAUCAGAAAAACAUUCUGUGAGAAGAAUAAUUUUAAGGGUCAACAUGUUAAAACCUACACCAACUGUGUUCAAGUAAAUUAAGGAGAUGAAUAAUGUUGUUUAAUGUUUAUAAAGGUUUUUUUCAUUUUAUAUUGUUUUUAGAUAAACUUAUUUUCUCUGA